ACUCCUACGGGAGGCAGCAGUGGGGAAUAUUGCACAAUGGGGGAAACCCUGAUGCAGCCAUGCCGCGUGUGUGAAGAAGGCCUUGGGUUGUAAAGCACUUUCAGUAGGGAGGAAGGUAGUGUAGUUAACACCUGCAUUAUUUGUACGUUACCUACAGAAGAAGCACCGGCUAACUCCGUGCCAGCAGCCGCGGUAAGUACGGAGGGUGCGAGCGUUAAUCGGAAUUACGUGGGCGUAAAGCGCAUGCAGGCGGCCUGUUAAAGUCAGAUGUGAAAGCCCGGGGUACUUAACCGUCGGUAAUUGCAUUUGAAACUGGCAGGCUAGAGUCGUUGUAGAGGGGGUUAGAAUUUCAGGUGUAGCGGUGAAAUGCGUAG
rnacentral:rRNA from 1 species